GCUCGCUCCUAUGCUUUUUAGAGCUCCCUAAACUUUGCCCCAGUGUUUUAUUCCCACCUCUAUCUGCUUCAGGAGACGCUGUCUGGAGAAAGUUUGAAAGUAAGCAAAGACAUUGCUUUAUUGAUUUAGAAUUAAAAAUACAGACAAUUGUAUUACACAUAUUCCACUUAACAGAAAAAUAAACCUUGAUUUAAUCAGUACCAAGAUUUUAUACUUAGUUUUAGUCUUUAUUUUAACUACCAAAAUACUACAAAGCAUAUUUGUAGCACAUUUGUUGCUAUUACACGGUUAGUAUUAAAAUGUGUGCCAACACCUUCUUGAAAUGCAUUUAGAGUGAAAUAUUUUAUCGGAAGAAUUUGGUUUGGAAAAGUUGAUAGUGCUUGACAUGCUAUUCCUAAAUAUAAACUGUUUACUGCAAAUACUUCUUGAUCAUGAAGCCUUUCUGUAGCCGAGAGCUUCAAAAUGACACCUGAGCGUUGGCAUUUAACUGAAUCAAAAUCUGUCUAUAUAAUAAAAAAAAAAAUAAUAAUUUCACAAGUGAAAGGUAGAGGUGAAAGUUAGUUCUGCUAAUAUAAACCGUAUCCUGAAAUGUAUCACACUGGUUUCCUGAUGCUUCUGGUCCUAAAAUCACUUAAAAACAGUGAACUGCAAUCUGCAUUUAGAAAUAUGCAAGACGUCUAUGUGUUUCAAUCAUGUUAGAUGCGUCACGAUUACUAAAAACACUUCAGGAAAUCUGGGAACAGAACAAAAGAUUUUAUAGAUGGAAUUGUUUAAAACUCCUCAUAUUUCCAAUUUGCCAGAUUCAUUUUAUUUGCUCUCUAAGUGUCAGAUUGUGUUGUUGUUUUUUAUUCCAUUCCAGCUCCACUUUGGUCUUUCUAUAUAAAACAUUAGUCAAACUUGGUACUAAAUUACAAAACAAAACAUACAUUUAAAAAAAAAGUCUAUGCUACACAUAAUAUUUGUUUUCCAGUUUAAAAUAAAACUAUACAAACAACAUAUACAAAGUACAACUUUGAUGAUCCACUCAGUCCAGUCUCUUCUUUGUCUUUGUAGACAUUCUCUUGUAAAUACAAACGCUUGCCUUCUGUUUGCUUCUGUUGGGGAAGUGCAUCACAUGCCCCGCUUGCCUCUGUGGUCCACGGCUUCAUGAGUUUCAUGCAUGUCAGCGUCCUGCAAAGUGCAUCCUCAGCGCCUCAGUGUUCCUCGCAUGUCCUCGUAAACAUCAUUGCCGGCAGCAACACGCCUCGGCUUUAUUGCUUUGUUUGAGCUCUUGGUCUGGUCACAAAAGAUUGUCAGCAAGUUAGACUGGUUUAAAAUGGGGAAAUGAGUUUGAAACCAAAGACAACAGCUU